rnacentral:lncRNA from 1 species
AAACUCACGUGCUCUGGCACAAUCUGAUGCAAAUACCGAAAUCUGGGUCCACCGUCCACUGCGAAGGCACCCGACAGUCCGGAACAGUCUACACACUACUGUAAAAAUAAACUCGGCAUCCCAGCACGAGCGUAAACUCAUCCUACACUAAUCUGGAUAUCCACCGCAUACAAACUGCGGCGAUACAAACAAACCACAGCUCCUGAAGCUAAAUCUGAUAUUUUUCAGAAAAUGACAGUGUAGGAUCUAUAGUUUUCUCCUAAGUCAAUUCCAAGUCCAACAUGUAAAAUUAAAUUACUAGUUUAACUCCAAAUUCAGAUUUAAACACUAAUCCAUUAAUUCGAGUACUAGCCAGAAAAUAAACGCAUGAU